CGGGGUGUGGCUCAGGUUGGUAGAGUACAAGACUGGGGGUCUUGGGGUCGCAGGUUCAAGUCCUGUCACUCCGACCA
rnacentral:tRNA from 1 species